GUGUUCAUUGUAGCAGCCCAUAUACUAAGACUGGAACAAUACUGAGAUUAGCAUGGUCCCUGCAAAAGCCUAACACACAAGUUCACAAAGCAGUCUUUAUUUGA